rnacentral:miRNA from 1 species
AGAGCUGAGGGCAGAGUCCAGGA